AGGAGCUCAGCACAUGCUGAUUAGAAGAGCCCCUGAUUGGAGGAGCUGUCACAUGCUCCUCUGACCCCUGGAACACGGAGGAUGUCACAGCAUGGUCUCCGUCUAAAUGUAAAUUGACCGCAUCCCACAUCACGCAAGCGCAAGGCACAGGAUCUCAUACCUCAAUGAUGACACUAGUUCCAAUUGAUUUCAUAGGUUAAAGAUUAAUCCAGAUCAGGAAAUGGCUGUUUGCUGGUGGCAGGUGCUCAUUACUGUUAAAAUGUCUACAGAUCUAGAAGAAGAAGGUUUGCUGCCAGAUGCAAAAAUGGUGAAAUCUCCAGGGACAAAAGUAGCAGCUCCACCACCAGGAUUAGGAGUGAGAAGGGAAAAUGAAUUUCUGGAUUAUUCUUAUCUUCUAUUUAAAUGCUACAAUGUGUCGGUAGAAUCAUACAGGGAAUUAGCACAGAAAGACUGGAAGAUACAGUAACAGAGUACAGUAAAUAAGGAUGAAUACUACAGUAUACACAACAGACAUAUUAAAGGAGAAGCUCAUCUGCAGACUGACUCAAAGGUGGAUUCAGUGGCGAUGACGCACACAAACGCCCAAUAUUGUAUUUGUGUAUAUGCAUCCAUGACACACGGUGCAUGAGUCCUGAUGGCUACCGUCCAGACAUGCAGAACGAACUUGGAAACAGAACAUGUAUUUCUGUGGGUGUUCCUGGGAGGUAACGGGGGAUGGCUAUCCUCUGCAUACUGUACUUUAUUUAAUACAAGUGCCGCCUUUUGGUUGUUUUUUAUUUACAGUAUACUCUACAUUUCAAUUGAUGAAGUGUUUGCUCUUUGUACAAGGAACAGGGAACAGUAUUGUCACACAUCGGGGUCUUAGCCUCGUUACCGGGUUUGGCAGGGUCAUGUCACUACCAUCUGUGUUCCUGUCGGUCACAUGUGUUAUUCCUGAGACCUGUGUCACUGUCAUUAUAUGUAAACAAUCAGUCUCUGCUGUUCUGCUUCAUGGGUGUUGCCAUCUUGGACUAAAUCACAUGACUCUGGCUAACCAGUCUCCAGCACACUGCAGUCACGUGAUGCAGCCAGCCUAUCAAUACACAAGGUACCCUAUUUUAAACAGGAAGUGCUGACUGGUCAUUGCCGGAGCAACUUUCUUCCUUCAGAAAUUGGUUUCUAUGGCUCUGAUCCCAAGUGUCUAUUCCUGACUGCAGUAUCUACUACUGGCAUUACCAAGUUCUCUGUUCCUGACUGCAGUGUCUCCUACUGGCAUUAUCAAGUGCUCUGUCCUGACUGCAGUACAUCCUACCAGAAUUACACAGUGCUCUGUUCCUGACUGCAGUUUCUCCUACUAGCAUUAACUAGUGCUCUUUUUCUGAAUGCAUGAUCUUCUGUCCAGACUGCCAAGUGCUCUGUACCGGACUGCAGCAUCUCUCACCUGAAUUUCUGAGUAAUCCUGUCUGCAGUAUUUCCUACAGGCAUUACCAAGUGCUCUGUGCUAACUGCAGUAAUUCCUAUCAGCAUUACCAAAUGUGAAAGGGAAGAGGUCUCAGCAAAAGGGGGUCUGGCUUCAUGGGAUGCUGCUACCAUGAGCCACGACUCCCAUUUGCCACUGCUGCUCUGCUCUUACUCACCAAGAUCACAGUUGCCCGGCACUCCUCAGUUGCUUUCCUAAGGGCAGGGUCAUUGUCAGCUGAAUUCAGAGCAGCCGUGUUGACUCCAUGGAGCGCAAAAGGGGAGUGGAGCACUGUGUCCCUAAUGGCCGCAGGCAUGUGCGUGCACUGCACACCUGCGGACCUCUUAGUAAAACCCUACUGGCCCAGCCCACUACUGGGAGGAGAGGAGUAGAGACGGGAGGAAAAUGAGUCCCCCUCUUCUCCUCCAGCUGGACUGCCUCCCGCUGCCUCUCUCCGCCGGAUAUGACACUGCCUUGGCUGGCGGCGCCCCACACUGCCAUGGUACCUAGUGCAUGUGUCUUACUCGCACCCCCCUUGUUAUGGCACUGCUCUUCUGUCAUCAUUUUUCAUCUCCUGUUCAUCCCGUUGUAAAGUCGUCAGAGACAGUGUAACCUGUAGCCAAUCAGAUCAUCAGAAUGCUCACUACAGCACAGAAUAUUUCAGGAGAUGACUGUGCUAAGCUGGACAUAGGUAGUGACCUGCCCUGCUAGUGAGUAUGCAGCUUCCAGUGAUAGAGGCAGUUUCAUGAUGUGAGGAGGGGGAUGUAUGGAACCAUAGUGUUCAUUCUAG